rnacentral:rRNA from 1 species
GGAGGUAGUGACAAUAAAUCACAAUGCGGAACAUCUGUUUUGCAAUUGGAUUGAGAACAACGCACAACACUUAUCGAUAAACAAUUGGAGGGCAAGUCUGGUGCCAGCAGCCGCGGUAAUUCCAGCUCCAAUAGCGUAUAUUAACGUUGUUGCAGUUAAAAAGCUCGUAGUUGAAGUGAAGUGUGGAAGUUUAGCAUUUUCGUUUGAAUUUGUUUCUCUUCUAUACUCUUUCCAAAUAGUUUGCAUGGGUAUUCAUUUAUCUGUGUAUUGCAUUUGGUCAUUUACUGUGAGAAAAUUAGAGUGUUCAAAGCAUACGUUUGUUUGAAUACAUUAGCAUGGAAUAAUUCGAAAAGGCUUUCAUGUUCGAUUUGAUUGGUUUGUUCGUGAAGGCAAGAUUAAAAGGGACAGUUGGGGGUAUUCAUAUUCAAUAGUCAGAGGUGAAAUUCUCGGAUUUAUGGAAGAUGAACAAGUGCGAAAGCA